UACGGGGGGAGCAAGCGUUGUUCGGAUUUACUGGGCGUAAAGGGCGCGUAGGCGGCGCAACAAGUCACUUGUGAAAUCUCCGGGCUUAACCCGGAGCGGUCAAGUGAUACUGUCGUGCUAGAGUGCGGAAGGGGCUACUGGAAUUCUCGGUGUAGCGGUGAAAGUGCGUAGAUAUCGAGAGGAACACCUGCGGCGAAGGCGGGUAGCUGGGCCGACACUGACGCUGAUGCGCGAAAGCCAGGGGAGCGAACGGG
rnacentral:rRNA from 1 species